UAGGGAAUCUUCGGCAAUGGACGAAAGUCUGACCGAGCAACGCCGCGUGAGUGAAGAAGGUUUUCGGAUCGUAAAACUCUGUUGUUAGAGAAGAACAAGGACGUUAGUAACUGAACGUCCCCUGACGGUAUCUAACCAGAAAGCCACGGCUAACUACGUGCCAGCAGCCGCGGUAAUACGUAGGUGGCAAGCGUUGUGCGGAUUUAUUGGGCGUAAAGCGAGCGCAGGCGGUUUCUUAAGUCUGAUGUGAAAGCCCCCGGCUCAACCGGGGAGGGUCAUUGGAAACUGGGAGGCUUGAGUGCAGAAGAGGAGAGUGGAAUUCCAUGUGUAGCGGUGAAAUGCGUAGAUAUAUGGAGGCACACCAGUGGCGAAGGCGGCUCUCUGGUCUGUAACUGACGCUGAGGCUCGAAAGCGUGGGGAGCAAACAGG
rnacentral:rRNA from 1 species